AUUAAAGUAGCGGGGAGACGCUGCUGCAGGCAACAAACCCCCUGUGGAUAUUUCUUUAUUAGCACAGGGUGACAAGGAGGCCAUGUCCACGUAUGCUUUGGACACAGAAAGGCCAGCUGAUAUCUCACAGACAUUCAGAACGGACUGUGGAAGCAAUUCUGGAUAAAUAGCUCCGGUAUAAGCAUACUGAAAAGCACUGCAGCAUGACCAGUGCUUUAUUGAAACCAUAGAAGAGACUAAACAAUCAAUAUUUGAUUAAAUAUUUUUUUCAGCUCUGGGGUAUAGCCUCAAGAUUUCUUUGAAUUAAUAAAUGUUGUGCAUAUCAUACAUAUAUAUGAAUGUGUAGGGAAAAAACGCAGGAAUGGCUUUCAUCAAAGUGCAUCCAUAACUGUAGCUCAAUAGAAAAAGACAUGCAGAGGAAAGAGUUAUUUUUCUCCAGCAUGGCACAGGGCAUUCAUACAGCAGAUCCAUUAACAUACAGGAGAGGGAAUUCACACUCCAGCUGGAGUGGGCAGUGGGCUCAAGCCCCUGUCUGCUAUCAAUUAACAAGCACACUUAGUAUGUCUCUGAGUCAUGAUCAUCAGGGGGCUCAGAAAACACUGCGCAUUUCUGCAAUUUAGCUCGUGUGUUUGUUCGACAUGUUUGUUCAUAAGACUGUUUCAGGUAAAAAUUGUUAAAAUUGUGUGCAUGGCUACAAAUAGUUAAGCACAAAUAAACACGAUUAGGAAUUU